GCUUGAUCGUUUGAGAGCCACAUAUCCAUAAUUAGUUGUUUAAUACUACUCCUGAUCCGGGACUCAAAUUGGCUAUUUGCACUUCAAGGAAAACACUGUCACUACUGCUCAGAAGAGGAUACGUUAUCUCUUCCUGUAAAAGAAACCCAACCAGCACCUCUCUCCAGCUCUGUGAGACCCUGGGACGAAUUGUCCGCGAAUAAAACCCACGGACUCCCGAUCCAUUUACAGGAAUGCAUCCUAGUCCAUCUACUAUCCAGUUCGUUCUCACCUCAGUGUCAGCAGUCUUGAACCGGGUGCGAGGAUGCUGUGGCCAUUAUUGGAGACGUUACACUUCAGAAGAGGAUACGUUAUCUCUUCCUGUAAAAGAAACCCAACCAGCACCUCUCUCCAGCUCUGUGAGACCCUGGGUUUUGGAUGUUCAUCAUGGCCUGGCCCUGGCAUAGGGGGAUUCCAAUGAGCUGCACUGAAGAGAAAAUGUGAAAGGCUCUUCUCUACUCCGUUUGCAUUCUUUUUU